UCCAAUUGAAGCAGAGGACAGUGGCGGACGGGUGAGUAACGCGUGAGGAACCUGCCUUUCAGAGGGGGACAACAGUUGGAAACGACUGCUAAUACCGCAUGACACAUAGGUGUCGCAUGGCACUUAUGUCAAAGAUUUAUCGCUGUAAGAUGGCCUCGCGGUCGAUUAGAUAGUUGGCGGGGUAACGGCCCACCAAGUCGACGAUCGAUAGCCGGACUGAGAGGUUGAUCGGCCACAUUGGGACUGAGACACGGCCCAGACUCC
rnacentral:rRNA from 1 species